rnacentral:rRNA from 1 species
UCACGCAUCGCGUCUCCCCCAAAUCCACUCCGAGUGGAGGGGAAGGAGGAUGGUCUCCCGUGACUCACCGGUCGCGGCUGGCCUAAAAUUGGAGCCAUUGGCAUUGGGAUGCCGCGGCGAUAGGUGGUGAACAAGGCCUUGGCCAAGCAAGCAACCCGUCGCGCGUCGCCGUGCCAAAGUUAGCUCGAAGGACCCUUAGAUGUUGUCUAACGGCAACUUAACCGUUGCGAC